AAAUAACAACAAAUAGUGUAAAGCAGGCCAGCCCUUCCAACAGUAUUUGCCUAACUUCUAAUUAGCCUACAAAAGAAAGGAUGUCUAGAAAAGUGUUUUUAUUUAAAAUGACAGUCAUACAGUUUUCAUACAUGUAUACAGGAACCAAAAAGUUAUAUAAAGUGAGUAAGUAUUCUGCUAGCUUUUUGUUUGUUUACUAAUUGCUAAGGUGGCAUGCCUACACUAAACUAAUUGAAACACUCCUUUAAUUCUUGUCAAUUACAUUAAUUUGUUUUUAAGUUCAAACUCCAAAACAAAUCCACAACAAGAAGUCACAAUUGGAUUGUAAAUUCACAGGAUAUAUUAAAAGGAGAACUAAAACAAAAGCAUAUGAUAAUCUAAUAAAAAGAGAAAACUAAACCUUCUAACUGUUAAAAUUUAUGUAACAAAUUUAAUGGUUUCAAAAAAGGUUCACAGUGAGUUUAAGGGCAAAAUAAUACUAUAUGUAAUUUAUAAUUAUUACCAUUUGUACCUUUAUGGUUUCAAUUUAUUGAGCAUUGUUUUAGCCUUCAAAAACUGCAAGUCUACUAUAUGUAAAUUAUUUUCAAUAUAACUCCUGACAUUAGUAGUUUAAUAUAAGAAUGUUUCAAAAAAAAGAAUGUUUCAAAUGAAUUCUUGAUACUUAACUGCAUAACAUGAAAUAUGAACACUAAAUUCAUCAUCAUAUCUGGAGACACAGAAGUCUUCAAUACCAAAGUUACUUCUAAUAUCAAAAAGACAAACAGGAUAUAAUAGUCAGCAUCUUUACAGUCAGCUUCAAAGGAAAGCAAAGAUAUUCAGAAUUAAUUAGAAUAUGUUCGGUUUCCAUCUGACAACUGUAUGAAUUGAUCAACUGUCCUUGCUCCUUCUCUUCAUUUUCUAACUUGGAAGUCAGUGGCUAAUUUUGUCUGAGUUAAAGUGCUUACAUAAGAGUUUCAUUGCUUUACAGAAUUACCAAACACCCGCCUGGAGUUUCAGUUGAGUGUCAAGAUUCCAAAAAGGCAAAAGUUCCAUGUCCUCAAGCUGAUUACUUUCAAGUGAACUGCAGAAUCACCAAAGAGCUUGAUCCUGGAGUAGAAGAGAGGUUAUGAAACCAAAGUCAAGGAUAAUUUUCCCUCGGCUGAGUGCACAACCAGCAGGACAACUGACCAAGACAGUAUUACUGUAGGAAGAGGCAGAGUCACAGAAAAGUCCCACUUCUGAUGAGCUCCUAAAUGCUGCUUUGAACACACCUAUUGUAGUGGCUUCCACACGCAUGACUAAGAACAGAAUGUACAACAUCAAGUGUGAUAAAUGUACAGAUUGCAUUUUGCGUGAUAAUAAUUGGACAAAGUGAAUCAUUCUAUCAAAUGCAGCACUCUAAUAAAGACCAUGAUUGACAAGGAGAGGAUACUAAGGUUGCCUCAGAUACCUGUCUAGCACCAUGUCUGCCUGCAUGCUGCCACAUCCCACCAAGAUGAUAAUGGACUGAACCUCUGAACUGAAAGUCACCCACUUAAAUGUCUUCCUUUAUAAGAGUUUCCAUGAUCAUGGUAUCUCUUCACAGCAAUAGAAACCCCAAACAAGACAAAUGCUUAAACAAAGCAACAGAACAUCGAUUUCACAAAUAAUAGUAAUUGAAAUCAUUAACAAAUCUGAGUCCUAAGGAUGAUAUGAAAAACCCUGCAAGUACUACUUUCAAAUUUACUAAUUCACAUAUAAAAAAUCCUUAUUUUAACAUCUUGUGGACAAAUAUACAAUAAAAUAUUGAGUAAAAAAGAUAUUGUCCUCUAAUAUAUUUUUCAAUAUUUAUUUACAAUUAUUAGCGUGUGUCUGUGUGUAUACUAUGCCUGUCUGUCUAUCCCACACAAGUGCCACAGUAUGUUGAUGUGAACGUCAAAGAACAACUUGGGGAAGUAGGUUCUCUUCCAUCAUGUGGAUUCUGUCAUUAAAUGCAGGUUGUCAAGCUUGGGAGCAAGUGCCUUAACCUACUCAGUCAUCACACUGGCCUGCUAGCAGACUGCAAAUCACAUUACUGAUGAAGAAAACUCAACCUCCA